rnacentral:lncRNA from 1 species
UACUGUCUAACACUCUAGUCGCGUGACCAUGUAUUUAUUCCAUUAUUAUUUGUGACAAAACAUCUAAUAAAGUACAAUGAGCUUAUAGAUCUGGAUCAUGGUUCUUUCACUGGUCAAUAAAGUAUCGGUACGGUGGUGGAUUUCCGUCAGACCGUCAUCAUAUAUCUGCAUAUUCGCCACCAAUACCGACCUUAUAGACCGUCACUGAUAAAAUAAUGCCAAAGUUUGGUCGUAUCAUUUAAUCAGUUGUGAAAAUUUAUCAUUAAUACUUUUCAGAAGAAAAAUAAUCCUGCAAAAAUGAUGAGUAUUAGUGAAGGAUUUCUAAGGGGGAGAAAAAUCGUCUGACGAAGGAGAGCCUUGUGAUUGCCUGAACGCAAUCAUAUACUUUCUUCUAUCGCUGACUACGAAAAAAGGAAACAAAAUUACGGAAACUAAUAACAGUGAUUUGUUAUGCUCUAGAAACCAAUGUUACAACACACGAUUCAAUGGAAAAUGUAAUUGUUUUGCUGUAAUUGGUAUUACACUGUUAUUUAUAUUUGAUGAGGGUGGUGUUCUCAUCAGUGUUCAUCUAGUCGAUUCCAAACUAGUCGAUCGAUGGACUUUGGUGUAGAGGCCUUCACAGUCGAUCGAUCAGAGGCUCUGGACCAUUGAUCCCAUACUCCAUUCUUUGUGCUUCGAAAAUAGUUAAUUAUUCUCGAAAUCUAAUCAAGUAAAUGAUCUACGACACAUAUUAACAAUGACGACAAGUCUUAAAUUAUGAAAGUGAUGAUAAAUUCAUGUUGAUACAUUAGUGUAAGUCACGAUGAUGAAAAUACCAAGAACGGGAAUGAAAAAACCGAGGACGGUAAACAAUCUGAGGACGAAGACAAUAGGAGAAAUGAAAAAAAAAAUGAAGAAACUGAAGAGGAAGAAACCGAGAACGGGUGAUGAAAAGGACAAACCUGGUAGGACUGAGGAAUACAAAGUAACUCAAAAACUGGAGAAUGGUAUAUCAAAUAUGAAUAAGAGGAAGAUGUAAGUGUUGGAUCGUGAUCCGAGGCUAUAAGGAGGGGUAAUAGCCUCUUUUCGAUUUAUACAGGUUGAUUGCAGAAUUACCUGUAAAUGCUUAAUAAACAAAUGGUUGAACAAGUAAUGAUAUAAGGAUAUUAUGAUUUUGAUUGAUAUAAUAAUGUAAGUAUUACUCUUCGAAGCUUACUACAGUAUAUGAAUACUGAGUCAACUUGCUUGAUAGUGUUUUGCACACAACUAUAGUAUAUGAAUACUAAGUUAUAUUGGAAACACAAAUUAUAUUGUAGAGUAAAUGACCAGAUAACUGGAUAUAUUGAUACGCAAGUAAAUGACCAGAUAACUGGAUAUAUUGAUAAACAAGUAAGUGACCAGAUAACUGGAUAAGUUGAUAAACAAGUAAGUGACCAGAUAACUGGAUAAAUAUGAUAAGUAAUACUUGAACAAAUAUAAAGAUUUAAAGCAAUGAAUAUAACCUCAGAUAGUUGACCAGAUAACUGGAUGAGGGAUCUGCGUAAAGUAGUCAACCUCUGUGUUUGACCAGAUAACUGGAAGAGGGAUCUUUUAAAUUAAGUGUUGUUUUUAGAUAAAAGAUAAAACUAUAAUUAACAGAGAACAACACAAGAGAUUUAUACUGGUUCACCCAAACAAGGGCUAGUCCAGUCCCGACCAUCUGCCGGAAUUCACUCGCCUAAAGGUAAUGGCAAAACCUUAGAGUAUCAAGGAAACUCUUAAGAACCUCUCUAAGCUUUAAGGCUACUUCGCUUAGGAACCAGUCUUUUACGGGUAGACUCACACCUUAGAGUAUCAAGGGCACUCUUAAGAACCUCUAACUUUUACGGGUAAAUUAGUACCUUAGAGUAUCAAGGAACUCUUAAAAACCUCUCUAAGCUUUAAGGCUACUUCGCUUAGGAACCAGUCUUUUACGGGUAGACUCACACCUUAGAGUAUCAAGGGCACUCUUAAGAACCUCUAACUUUUACGGGUAAGUUAGUAAAUUAGAGUAUCAAGGAACUCUUAAAAACCUCUGAAAUCUUUAAAGGUAGACUCAACCUAAGAAUUUUCCCGGAAACUCUAUAAAACCAAACUAGAGCUAUAUGGUUGAGCUCACAAACCUUCUCUCACACUUUGGUACUAUUGAGACAACCCUCUCAACCAAAGUGGACACACACAAGAGGUGAUUAGAGGAGUGGAAUAUUAAAGCAAACAACACUUCUUACUUGUAAAGUUGAACAAGAAGAUUAGAAGAAGAAGUUGGAGAGCUUUUGAAACUUUGGAAAGCUAGGACACUUGAGCACUUGAAGGCUUGGAAGCUUGGAGGCAAAAACGUGUGGGCAAGUGUGGAGUGGAAGCUCUUGAAUUUGCUUGUAGUGUGGUGAGUGAAAAUGAGGGGAUUACCUUUCUAUUUAUAGCCUUGGCCACUCAAUGUCCACCCUUGGAUCUUCAAUGG